GCCUUCGUAGCUCAGCGGACAGAGUGCGACUUUCCGAGGGUCGAGGCGCUGGUUCGAUUCCAGCCGGGGGCAC
rnacentral:tRNA from 1 species